GUUUGAUCCUGGCUCAGAUUGAACGCUGGCGGCAGGCUUAACACAUGCAAGUCGAGCGGGGGAAGGUAGCUUGCUACUGGACCUAGCGGCGGACGGGUGAGUAAUGCUUAGGAAUCUGCCUAUUAGUGGGGGACAACAUCUCGAAAGGGAUGCUAAUACCGCAUACGUCCUACGGGAGAAAGCAGGGGAUCUUCGGACCUUGCGCUAAUAGAUGAGCCUAAGUCGGAUUAGCUAGUUGGUGGGGUAAAGGCCUACCAAGGCGACGAUCUGUAGCGGGUCUGAGAGGAUGAUCCGCCACACUGGGACUGAGACACGGCCCAGACUCCUACGGGAGGCAGCAGUGGGGAAUAUUGGACAAUGGGGGGAACCCUGAUCCAGCCAUGCCGCGUGUGUGAAGAAGGCCUUAUGGUUGUAAAGCACUUUAAGCGAGGAGGAGGCUACUUUAGUUAAUACCUAGGGAUAGUGGACGUACUCGCAGAAUAAGCACCGG
rnacentral:rRNA from 1 species